rnacentral:lncRNA from 1 species
CUUACCUGCUUCACUUCACCCCCGCGCGCUGCACGAAGGGUGAUGAUAGGCUGUCGGUAAAGGAGGAGGCGUAAACCAACGCGUCAUUACAUAACCUGAACCAGGUUUUUGUUGAAGAGGUCAUUUUUGGGUAGGAUAUCUCACCUAGUCAACACGUCGAAAUCAACACAUUUAUCGGGAAGGGAACAACAAGACAGUUAGUGAAAAAAUUCCUAUCAUGGAGGUUGCAGAAAAGAAGAUGCCCAAACAGGCCCAGCUGCUCUCUCUUGGCCGCAAGGACACCAGUCACCUCUUGGAAGUGUAUGUGAAGCGCAGCAUCAGUUUAAGUGACGGGACAUGUGAGGACCAGAGGUCACCAACAAAGCCUCGGAAGUGGGUGACACUGUCAGAGAAACGCAGAAGAGUUCACCGGCAUUCUAUUGACUCCUUGGUCACCUUAGGGCCCAGCAAACUUGACGAUGGCGAUGCCACCAGCACACCACCCGACGAGGGCUUUGUUAUACCAAAUGUGGCUCCUGUAGAAAUCCCAGGGCCUGCUGAUAUUCCUGAGAUUGAUGCGUCUACUGAACUGGAGAAUAAGUCUAAAGAGGGAAAGAAGAGGAGCAAAAGGCCCUCUCUCUGGAAAAGUUUUCUGGGUUUCUUCUCGAAGAAGGGGAGUGACCAGAAAGAUGAGCAUGAGUCUGGUACAGAGACUGGUGGACAGUCGCAAGGAAACAAAUCCAUAAAAAAGCAAUGGCGCUCCAUGAGGAGACCUCUGAGAAAAAUAAAGAGUGACAGCUUCAGAGGGUCUGUGAGGAGAUCAUCGGCUCGGAACAGGGCCAACACUACAGAAAUAACUGGAGUUGAAUCGGUUGUGAGUGUGGUGCUUACAGACUCGUACUAUGAGAAAGUGUCAGAAGAGCUGGAGAAGAUUGUGUCUGAGGAGAAAGAGACAGACACAGCUUCUACAGAUGAGGACGUCAUCAAAAGGAUCAUUGUUCUGAUGAAGCAGCAAGGAGACGUCAUUGAUAACAAGCUGAAGGAGAACCCCAGCCUGAGCGCAUUCUUCCAGAAGCUGUCCUACAGUACCUUCCAGCAGUUGGCUGAUACGUACGUGGAGACAGAGACCCCUACGGGCCAGUGCCGCCAGACACCACACACUGUUGGGCCCGGGCCCGUCAACGCCCCGGAGCUGGUCAAGCUGGCCUUCACUCUGGACUUCACAGCCAGGGUGGCCUGUCUCUCCAGACAAUCCACAGGACACAUCAUGGGCCUGGGCAACCGCUACUUAGAGGACCGCUUCACCCAGACACCAGAGGUUAAUCCAGAUCAGACGCUGCAUAACCAGGAUGGUCCUAAUCGUUGA